rnacentral:rRNA from 1 species
UGCUGAAAGCAUCUAAGCACGAAACUUGCCCCGAGAUGAGUUCUCCCUGAGACUUUAGGUCUCCUGAAGGAACGUUGAAGACGACGACGUUGAUAGGCCGGGUGUGUAAGCGCAGCGAUGCGUUGAGCUAACCGGUACUAAUGAACCGUGAGGCUUAACCUUACAACGCCGAAG